GUCUUAUUUCAAGCAGAAGUUGCCGCCCUAACUUCCAAAUUUGGGGACUGAACAUCGUUCACCGAAUACACUUUGUGAUGGUGGGCUUGAAAUCUACUGUUUUCCUGUCUUAAAAGAGAAUUCUGUGACUCCAUGGAAGACAUCUGAAUUUUGUUUUAGGUGAUGAAGUACCUGCUGCCAGAGUUUCCCCUGAAACACACAAAGAAGAGUCUUUUACUUGUGAUUCAGUUGUUUCAGGAGUUCUUGACUGGCCAAUGUGCAAGGAUUCAUGUAAGCUGCUUUUCACUUCUUCUUCUGGUCGUUGUGAUUUUGCUGGAGGUUUUGAUACCACUGGACUCUUCUGAAUGGUCUGGACAUCAGUUGGCGAGAGAAAGGCACUGAAGAAAUUUUCAGAUUCAUCGACCACAGUCCUCCGAACUGGCUUUGUGAUUGCUUUAGGAGAGGCUAUUGGUGGACUCUGAGGUUCAGUGUUUGAUUUCAACCCCCAGGUUGAAGUAUCCCAUCCUCCACUGACAGGGGAACUUAUUCCUUUAACAAAAAAGUAAAUAUUAAAAAAGAACACAUAUAUGUUACAUUAAUAUUUCAAUCAUCAUUAUAAAUCAGUAUAAAUAUAAAUUUAGAAAAAAUA
rnacentral:lncRNA from 1 species